GCUUAAUUCUUACAGACAAAAUCAUUGACAAAAAUAGAAUCCAGACAAAAUCCCAAAUGGCAAAUCUAAAACAUCAGCCAAACAAUAAAUUUCACUUUAUAUAAACUACUGUUACAGAAGUGCUUUAAUUAUUUACAUACUUACAGAUACAGAUAUUUCACAGCACACUCCCUAUCAGGGCUUUUCAGUGACUGGUUACAUUGUGAAUAGAUAGAUAGAACCGGACUGACGUGAAGCAGACCGAGGUAGACUUUGAGCUUAUAAAUGGCUCCUUGAGCAGCCACUAUUAGUCCAUACCUCAUUAAUGAUCUGCCUCCUGACCUACUGUAUGUGCCUAACCCACCCUGUCAACUUUCCCUGUGGGAGGAAACCGGAGUACCCAGAGAAAACACAUUGAGAAGUUCUCACUGAGGCUUGAACCUGCGGUCUCAGAGGUGAAAGGCAAGUGCGCUACCGGUAACCACUUUGCCACCGAAUACUUCAACUGCCACCUCUUGUGCUUGUUUGCACAGAGUACACAUUUCUACCAACAUGAGCACAGUCAGGGUGGAGUUUCUUUCGCUUUUUUCUCCUUGGGAAUGUAACUUACACCAAUUUCAUAUUUGCACUCUGGGUAGCUUUUUGGCUUCCAGAAGUUUGCAUAUACAAAUGGACAUGCAGGACACUUGCUUUUGCACCUUUUUGUUGCAUUGCCUAGGAUAAUCU